rnacentral:lncRNA from 1 species
UUUCAUCUCAUAUGUAGCAUCAGUAGUAGCACCAGUGACCAGAGGGUACCAGAGGGUUGGGAGUGAGUUUUCAACAGAGUAAUCUCUACUUAUUGGUGAGGAACUAGUGAGUUCUUUGAGGGCCAAGAUUAGAGGUCUGUAUUCUGAGUUCUGGGGAGUGCUAUUCUGUACUUCUUCUACAUCUAGUGGAGUUUUUCAUCGCCGCCCGUGGACGUAAGAGGCCAACCUCCGAACCACGUAAAUCCUUGUGUCUCCGGUUGUGAGUUGUUCAUUUUGUUUCUGUCUUCUAGCUUCCGUGCUAAGUCCAUAUUGGGCUUUCAUCUCUAACAGUUUUACCUUCGAAGCCUCUGAAAAUCGUCUGCAAUCCCCGGCUGACGCUUCGUGUGGGCACUUCAACGAUCUUCGAGCUCUGUGAACCGGCGAGGUUUUCCCCCACACGAGGUUCUUAAUCUGCCUGCAACAUGGCGAGGGGGUGUUAGGAAUCUAGAUGAAGGUGCUCUGCAUCCCAUCACUUGAUUGAAAUUAGGUCGUCCACCAUGUGCUCUGAUGAUGCAUUGCAAGGGAUGAAACUCAAAUAAGGGUCAAGGAAGAUCACAUGCUAGCAAAGAUACCAGGUCCAUGAAGAACGUAACUCUCUUCAAUUGGCUGAACCACCCAUGCUAGCUGGAGCCGUCCGUAGAAUUAAGGUUGAGAACUUAUUGGUUAUUAC